UACGGAGGGGGCAAGCGUUGUUCGGAUUUACUGGGCGUAAAGGGUGUGUAGGCGGCUGGAUAAGUCUGGCGUGAAAUCUAUGGGCUCAACUCAUAGACUGCAUGAGAAACUGCCGGGCUUGAGUAUGGGAGAGGUGAGUGGAAUUCCUGGUGUAGCGGUGAAAUGCGUAGAUAUCAGGAGGAACACCUGUGGCGAAAGCGGCUCACUGGACCAUAACUGACGCUGAUGCACGAAAGCUAGGGGAGCAAACAGG
rnacentral:rRNA from 1 species